rnacentral:rRNA from 1 species
UAAGGAGGAUGCGAGCGUUAUCCGGAUUUAUUGGGUUUAAAGGGUGCGCAGGCGGCGAGUUAAGUCAGCGGUAAAAUUUCGGGGCUCAACCCCGGCGAGCCGUUGAAACUGGCUGUCUUGAGAUGUCGAGAGGUAUGCGGAAUGCGCAGUGUAGCGGUGAAAUGCUUAGAUAUUGCGCAGAACUCCGAUUGCGAAGGCAGCCUGCCAAGCCAUGACUGACGCUGAUGCACGAAAGCGUGGGGAUCGAACAGG